rnacentral:rRNA from 1 species
GACGAACGCUGGCGGCGUGCCUAAUACAUGCAAGUCGAACGAACUCUGGUAUUGAUUGGUGCUUGCAUCAUGAUUUACAUUUGAGUGAGUGGCGAACUGGUGAGUAACACGUGGGAAACCUGCCCAGAAGCGGGGGAUAACACCUGGAAACAGAUGCUAAUACCGCAUAACAACUUGGACCGCAUGGUCCGAGUUUGAAAGAUGGCUUCGGCUAUCACUUUUGGAUGGUCCCGCGGCGUAUUAGCUAGAUGGUGGGGUAACGGCUCACCAUGGCAAUGAUACGUAGCCGACCUGAGAGGGUAAUCGGCCACAUUGGGACUGAGACACGGCCCAAACUCCUACGGGAGGCAGCAGUAGGGAAUCUUCCACAAUGGACGAAAGUCUGAUGGAGCAACGCCGCGUGAGUGAAGAAGGGUUUCGGCUCGUAAAACUCUGUUGUUAAAGAAGAACAUAUCUGAGAGUAACUGUUCAGGUAUUGACGGUAUUUAACCAGAAAGCCACGGCUAACUACGUGCCAGCAGCCGCGGUAAUACGUAGGUGGCAAGCGUUGUCCGGAUUUAUUGGGCGUAAAGCGAGCGCAGGCGGUUUUUUAAGUCUGAUGUGAAAGCCUUCGGCUCAACCGAAGAAGUGCAUCGGAAACUGGGAAAAUUGAGUGCAGAAGAGGACAGUGGAACUCCAUGUGUAGCGGUGAAAUGCGUAGAUAUAUGGAAGAACACCAGUGGCGAAGGCGGCUGUCUGGUCUGUAACUGACGCUGAGGCUCGAAAGUAUGGGUAGCAAACAGGAUUAGAUACCCUGGUAGUCCAUACCGUAAACGAUGAAUGCUAAGUGUUGGAGGGUUUCCGCCCUUCAGUGCUGCAGCUAACGCAUUAAGCAUUCCGCCUGGGGAGUACGGCCGCAAGGCUGAAACUCAAAGGAAUUGACGGGGGCCCGCACAAGCGGUGGAGCAUGUGGUUUAAUUCGAAGCUACGCGAAGAACCUUACCAGGUCUUGACAUACUAUGCAAAUCUAAGAGAUUAGACGUUCCCUUCGGGGACAUGGAUACAGGUGGUGCAUGGUUGUCGUCAGCUCGUGUCGUGAGAUGUUGGGUUAAGUCCCGCAACGAGCGCAACCCUUAUUAUCAGUUGCCAGCAUUAAGUUGGGCACUCUGGUGAGACUGCCGGUGACAAACCGGAGGAAGGUGGGGAUGACGUCAAAUCAUCAUGCCCCUUAUGACCUGGGCUACACACGUGCUACAAUGGAUGGUACAACGAGUUGCGAACUCGCGAGAGUAAGCUAAUCUCUUAAAGCCAUUCUCAGUUCGGAUUGUAGGCUGCAACUCGCCUACAUGAAGUCGGAAUCGCUAGUAAUCGCGGAUCAGCAUGCCGCGGUGAAUACGUUCCCGGGCCUUGUACACACCGCCCGUCACACCAUGAGAGUUUGUAACACCCAAAGUCGGUGGGGUAACCUUUUAGGAACCAGCCGCCUAAGGCGGGACAGAUGAUUAGGGUG